GUACAUCUGGACAACAAGAACCAUCCUGUUGAUGACACAUGCUUCCUGUGUGAUAAGAUGGCUAAGAGAUGUCUGCUGAAUUUGAAGACCACUACCCAGUAAGACUCCAGCACCAGGCUAGAUCUUAAAUCAUGAUUAUAAAGAAACUUGUGCCUGUUGGGAUAUGUAAAACAUAGUUCUGAAGCAAUGGCUACCACUGUUGUCUAGUGUCAGCUGAAUGGGCACUACCUGGACUUUCUCAGAAGUGGAAUCGGCAGUACUCAGAGCCAGAUCUACAUAAAGAACUGGAGGAAGAAGAUACAGCAUGUGUUUCCACCAGAUCUUCAGUUGGCUCUGAUCCCUGGUAGCCUUCAAGAACCCUGCUCUGGAGCUAG